CAGCUUUCUAUUUUCAAUUGAUGCGUGCAGAAUACCCUCACCUCAAUGGCAUGAAGAAAUUGCUUAAAUUUUUGCUAGGAUAUGAAAAUUGACGUAAUUUUUUGUAACAUUGUCUCUUUUUUAUUGUGUCAUUUUGAUCUUCUAAUAAUGCUCUAAAUUGUCAAACCACUUGAAUAUUUUAUAUUUUAAUUUAAAGCUUUUUUUUUUAAUGAAAUUUAUGAUUUUCAAUUGAACACUUCAUACAUGAAACAUGUAAAACUGAGUCUUUAGAUCCAAAAACAACUAUUCUUGUACUUGAAGACAGAUAUGGACUUCAUGCAAUUGAUACAUUGGACCCUGACAUGGUGCUUUAAAUAAGAUUGUGAAACCAGCCAGAAGAUUGAGGAGAACGUAGGAAAGUGAUUGAAUAGGAACAAAAAGAAGAAAAAUGGCAUAAAACUAUGCUCAAGCUUAUCCAUCCGAGUCUACACCAAACAAG